GUGGCUGUCACAAAGGGCGGAGCUGGGGUCGCUGCCCCUCCCCCUGUCUGCAACAGUUCUCGGGCUGGGAGCGAUCACUGUCACCCCUUAACCUCUCUGUUCCUCUUCUCGGCGGCCCUCCCUUUCCCUUGUCCUUUCGUGCCCCAAACCACAUCCUGGAACCCGCACUCCCGCACGGGCCUCCGCUGGGAAGGUGCACCGGGAGUCCAGGCCUGCGAGCUGCCCUGCGUGGCCUCCUCCUACAGCCCCUCUCCGGGCCCACCCCCUCGGCUGCACUGAUUGGCUGCUCCUGCCCCGCCCUGAACAGGCAGGGUCCACUGUCCCGCGGAAACUUUUCUGUGCCGGGAGGAAGCUGGACAUUCGGAGACUCCCAGAAAGCAGCUCCGGAGGCUGCAGGGGUCUGGGCGGCCAUGGAGGAGCCCCCUUUGCGAGAGGAGGAAGAGGAGGAGGGGGACGAGGCUGGGCCCGAGGGGGCCCUGGGCAAGAGCCCGUUCCAGCUGACCGCCGAGGACGUAUAUGACAUCUCCUACGUGAUGGGCCGCGAGCUGAUGGCCCUGGGCAGCGACCCCCGGGUGACACAGCUGCAGUUCAAGAUCGUCCGCGUCCUGGAGAUGCUGGAGACGCUGGUGAAUGAGGGCAGCCUGACGGUGGAGGAGCUAAGAAUGGAGCGGGACAACCUCCGGAAGGAGGUGGAGGGGCUGCGGAGAGAGGGCUCGGCGGCCGCCAGGGAGGUGAACCUGGGACCAGACAAAAUGGUGGUUGACCUGACAGAUCCCAACCGACCACGCUUUACUCUACAGGAGCUGAGAGACGUGCUGCAGGAACGCAACAAACUCAAGUCGCAGCUGCUGGUGGUGCAGGAAGAGCUUCAGUGCUAUAAGAGUGGCCUGAUCCCAGCAGGAGAAGGCCCAGGAGGAAGAAGAAAAAAAGAUGCUCUGGUUACCAGGGCCAGCGAUGCCAGCAGUAACAAGGAGGAGAAGACAAUCAUAAGGAAGCUAUGUCAGUACAAUUAGGCACACCUUUCCUCCACCCCAUGCUGAAGCAAGCAGCUGGUUUGCCUUGGUUGCUUUGAGAAUGUCCGGCCUGGUGACAGUUUAUCAGCUCCUGGUCUUUCGGAUCAAAAGUGAGAAACACCCUCGAUCAGGGAUCUCAAACUAGAAAGCCUACGGGGGCCAAGCACUUAAUGUGGAUGAGUGAUGGGGCUGUGGGGUGGGGUAGGGGACAGUUGCCCCUCAGUUCUGUCUGGCCUAGGAAUAACAUGUUACCAGAGCUUCCGCUUCUUGAGUGAAGCCGAGAAGCCGGAUUUGUUCAUGGAAUCUGAUUUCCAAAUGCCGGCAAAUAAUUUACGAUUAAAAAUAAAGACUGUACGAUCCAAAUGACCCACCAUCGCAGGCUGUGUCAGGUCCUAGGCCGCCAUCUGGCUCUUGCUCCAUUAUUCCUGCCUCUCAGGGAGGGCUGAGGGGACCUCGUUUUCUUCCAUUCAUUCGGUCAUUAGUCAGUCAACAAACCCUCACUGAGUCUAUAUCGUGCACCAGGUGUGGUGCUCAAGCUGGGGGUGCUGCAGUGACUUAUUUUGCAAGAACUUUGUGGACUCCAGUUUCACAGGGAAAUGAUUUUGAGGGAUCAGAGAUUCUGAGUUACCUUCCAGGGCGGGUUUAAUUGAGAUGGCUUUGUUUCAAGAGACGGGAGAAACUUUUUUUUUCUUUUUCUCUUUUUGGACCUCAGGAACAUAGGGUUGCGUUAGUGAGUCGCAGCCCAUGGCACAGCGCACCUCACUGUGAGCGUUCUCUUUCCGAUCAGGGAAGCAGACAUAGAUCUGGGACCAUGGCUCAGUUCUCAGAAGACGACGUCAAAAAUCAUCUUUCAGUGCCAGUGCGUACCCACUGCACUUGCUCCUUUGUUUCCCCUCAAAGCUGUCUGAGGAGGAACGGGUGAGGUUUUCUCUCUGGCAGCGGCACAAAGAAAUCGAGAAAGCAGAAGGAAAGCGAAACGGGGCCACCUGCAGCCCUACUUCAACCCCCCAAGAGGCCCCCAGCAUGCGGAUGUGCUUUCUGCUUCUCAGGGCUCACAAACGACCCAGGUCUUUACUGCGUAGCUGCGAAAUACACCAGCCCAAAUCGGGGUGGGGAGAAGAGGACGCAGGAAAAUCUGGUAUGGACUUUGCAGUGAUGACUUCACUGAUAUUUAGUGACGAUUUGAUUUUGCUAACGUGACUUUCUUUACAUGAUUUUUUUAUUAAAGUAAAAUGACUUUUA